AUUGAACGCUGGCGGCAGGCCUAACACAUGCAAGUCGAGCGACUGGCGGACGGGUGAGUAAUGUAUGGGGACUGCCUGAUAGAGGGGGACAACUGCGGCAAACGGUAGCUAAUCCCGCAUACUAUCGAAUAACAUCUAUGGGAUUAGCUAGUAGGUGAGGUAAUGGCUCACCUAGGCGUCGUUCCCUAGUUGGUCUGGGAGGAGGAUCAGCCACACUGGGACUGAGACACGGCACAGACGCCUACGGAGGCAGCAGUGGGGAAUAAUGCACAAUCGGCACAAGCCUGAUGCAGCCAUGCGGCGUGUGUGAAGAAGGUCCUAGGGUUGUAAAGUACUUUGAGUCGGGAGGCGUUACCAACAGAAGAAGCACCGGCUAACUCCGUGCCAGCAGCCGCGGUAAUAC
rnacentral:rRNA from 1 species